rnacentral:rRNA from 1 species
UGAUGAAUCUUGGUCAAUGGGCGCACGCCUGAACCAGCCAUGCCGCGUGCAGGAAGACGGUCCUAUGGAUUGUAAACUACUUUUAUUUGGGAAUAAACCUCUUUACGUGUAGAGAGCUGAAGGUACCAAAUGAAUAAGCACCGGCUAACUCCGUGCCAGCAGCCGCGGUAAUACGGAGGAUGCAAGCGUUAUCCGGAAUCAUUGGGUUUAAAGGGUGCGUAGGUAGGUCUGUAAGUCAGUGGUGAAAUCUUCGAGCUUAACUCGGAAACUGCCAUUGAUACUGUAAGACUUGAAUUCGAUCGAAGUGGGCGGAAUAUGACAUGUAGCGGUGAAAUGCUUAGAUAUGUCAUAGAACACCGAUAGCGAAGGCAGCUCACUAGGUCUGGAUUGGCGCUCAGGGACGAAAGCGUGGGGAGCAAACA